GCCUUUGUGGUGUAACGGUAGCACACUCGGCGCGUAUUCUAGAGGUCCUGGUUCGAAUCCCGGCGAGGGCA
rnacentral:tRNA from 1 species